UCAAAUAUGCUCACUGGUGGGAUACCUACGGAAUUAAGCAACUUGAACUUCCUUGAAGUCCUAAAUCUUUCCAAUAACCAUCUUGCUGGAGAAAUACCUCGAGGACAACAGUUCAGUACUUUUACCAAUGAUUCCUAUGAGGGAAACUCUGGGUUAUGUGGACUCCCACUGACAAUCAAAUGCAGCAAGGACCCUGAACAACAUUCUCCACCUUCAACUACCUUGAGGAGAGAAGGAGGAUUUGGAUUUGGUUGGAAACCAGUGGCUAUAGGAUAUGGAUGUGGAAUGGUCUUUGGAGUGGGAAUGGGAUGUUGUGUAUUGUUAAUAGGAAAGCCUCAAUGGCUUGUGAGAAUGGUCGGAGGUAAACCCAAUAAAAAGGUGAAAAGGAAGACAAGGAUGAGAUCUAAUGAAAAUGGUAGCAGAAUGAAUUAGUUGAUAUAUGGCAUGACUGGAGAAUGUCUUGUUACAUACCUGCCAUCUUUGAAAACAAAACUUAAGGGCAAGAACUUUAUCACACUGCAUUGCAUGGGAGAUCUGGUUCAAAGUUUUGCUGUAAUAUGAAUGUGUUAUACUCUUGCUUUUGUCGUAUAACUGUGGCAUUAAUUGGUUGUAUAAUAAUAGAUGUUGUAUAUUUUUAAAAAUGGUAUGUAUUGGCCAAUGCUAAAAUAUUUUGUAUCUUAAUUCAAGGAGCUGAAUUCACGGUUUUAGCUUCCAUUGUAGUCUAUUUAAUUAAUUUUCUAACUAUUUAACCACCGUGACAUGGCUUUAGAAGCUGAGGGGUCCAGGGACUUAACUAUAAGAGCACAAACAAUGCAUACUAAAAAGUUGCAUAUUUAUUUUUAUAGCCUAGGCCUCAUGGUCCGUAGGAUAUCACAUAUUUAUUUUUUAUUAAGUAAUUUUUCCCAAAUUAGAACAAUUGUCUGGUGAAAAUUUUCAAACUUUGAAAUAAAAGUUGCAGUACUAAAAUCAGUUAUAAUUAAACCUAAACUUUUUCUUUUUCAAUUACUAUUACGAUAAAUUGGUAGUGGUACGUGCUGUAAAUAUUACAUCUACUUAUAAUGUCAGCACCCAAAAAUUAUUUUUAUAAUGUAAAAUUUACAUUGUCAUUAAUUUGCUUUAUUAAUUUUUAUUAUAACUAUUUUAAAUUUAUAUUAUUAUCAUAAAAUCUGAAAAAUCGUAUCUAUAAUUUUUAAUUAAGCGUAAAAUUUUGUAACUUUUAUAAAUUUUAGUAAAUAUUAAAAAAAUAUAUAAUAUAAUGCUAGUAUUUUUCAAAAAAAUCAACAUUAUCAUUAAAUAAACCUGUGUGUUGUACAAUAAUUCCCUUUUAUCAUUCAAAAGAAAAAUUGAAACUGUUAUUCAAAAUAAAAUAACCAUUAGUGAAUUUUAUGAUAAUUACCUUAAUGAUUAAAUAUAUUUAGUUAAUUUUUUUUGCUCCCUAAUAAAUUUUUGUUUUGUUUUGAGUACUAUAUAAAACAAUAAUUUUAUUUUUGGUCCUAGAUAUUUUGUUGUAUAUAAUCCCUAAUAAGUUAGCAAAUUUUUGUUUACUUCCUUUUAAAUUAACAAAUUUUGUUUUAGUCCCAACUAAUAACAAAUGAAAAAAAUUAUCAAGAAAUAAACACACAAUUUGUGAAUCUAUCAGGGACUAAGAAAAGUAUCAAGAACCAAAAUAAAAUGAUUUUUUUAUUAGAAACUCAACGAAAAGUAAAAAUUUAUUAAAAAUUAAAUACAAAAAAUAAAUAUUUAUUAGGGAUUAAAAUUAUAAUUAAAACUUGUCUUAAAUAUUAAAUCUAUUAUAAUUAUUAAUUGGUUCACAACAUAUAAAUAUUUACACUUGUUAAAAUAUACUAUAAUUUCUCUUAAAUUAUUAGGUAAAAUUGGUAAGAGUGUGAGAAACUUAAUUAUUUAUCAAUACCAGCUAUGUGAAUGAACUAAUGUGGGUUUUUGAGCUAGAGACUCUUGGGAAAAAAAUAUUGUCUCAUAAUGAGAAGAAUACAUCAUAAAAAAAUAGAAAAUAUAAAAAUUUGUUUAAUAUGUUUCAACCCUCAUCCUUGCAUUGACAAUAUUAUACAUUUUAAGGAUAACAUAGAAAAAUUUACAAACAUUUUCUCCUUACGAUUUCCCCUCUGUUUGUUAGGGUAGUGACAGUUUCUUCGCACUAGAUGUGGUGAUUCUUCUCAUCUCAAAAAAUCUCUAUUUAUAAACCUAACAUUCUAAUAUUAACUGAAUUCAAAUCCUUAAUUUAUAAAUAAUAUAUUUAAUUCUAAAUGAUAUCCUAAAAAUAAGAUAAUAUCUUUUUUAAAAGCUAAACAAUAUCCUAUAGAUUUGUUAUUCAUUGAUUGAACCAUCAUUAAUUCCUACAUCCACAACUUUUAUAUAAGAUUUUAUGACAAGCAAGACAAACUUGCAAACCUUCCCUUGAUAUGACUCAUCUCUCUUAGGGUAUUGACCUAGGUUGAGUGAUUAUUCUUAUCUCAUAAAUCUUAUUUUAUAGACAUAACAUUCUAAUCUUAAAUGAGGAAACAAAUACCUAAUUUAUUAAUAAUAUAUUUAAUUUUAUCAACAUUCUAAAAAUAAGAUAAUAUCUUUUUUUAAGAAAAUAAAUAUCUUAUAGAUUUGAGAAUACAAAUAAGAUAUAUCUAACAAGAAGCAAAGUUGGACUUAUGUAGAUCAACCAACUAAUCCCUAUACCCACUCAUCACCUAAGCUCAGCCAAAACUCGCUUAGGCCUCAACCCUGCAUCGCUUAAGCUCUUAGCCAACACCACUUAAGCUACAUAAAAAAACAUGCUAAUUUUUGUGCCCAUUCUAGCUUAAGCGCUACCCAACACCAUUUAAGCUACUUCAAACUAAUUUACUCAAAUUAAAAAGAAUAAUGAUUCAACUAUUUAAUCACUACACAUUAAAUACCUAAUUUAUUUUCCGCACAUCACGCAACUGGUCCAUUUAUCUUUUUUAUUUAUUUCUUACAUGUAAUUUUCUUUUUAUUUUUUAAAAUCCAAAAUUUUCAUCUCUAUUUUAAAAUAAAGAUAUUUAAUCGAUUGUUUUUUACGAUCUAUAAUUUUAAUUUUCUAUUUUAAAAUAGAAAUAUUAGUCAUUUAUAUUUAUAAAAUAUGGAAUUUUAGUUAUCCCCAACUAAAAGCUUUGAUUGUUAAGAGCUUAAUCUUUAUUAUGAUAUAGAUUAACUAAAUUAUCUUGUGUCACAUUAUUAGAUUUGAAUCACAUCAAGUUAGCUUCUUACUAAUCAACGCUAAAUGAUUAUGUGGAUAUAAUCACAAAUGAUCAAAAUUAUAAAUUUUAUAACCUUAAGUAAUUAAUUGUUUUUAUUUUAAAAUAGAAGUAUUAAAAUUGUAAAAUAUAAAAAUUAAGACGGUCAAAUAUUUUUUAAAAUAUAGAAAUCAAAAUUAGAUAUUUUGAAAAUAGGAAAAAAUUACAUUUAAGUUUUUAUUUUUAUUUUUUACCGGAGGUCCAUAUGUCUAGUACUUAGAAAUCACGUCAUUAUAAAAAUGCGCCACUAGAGCAUAAUAUAAUAGCAUGAAGGACGUCAUUAUAAUUACAUUUAAGCCAUGAAGAACGUUGUUAUAUAUGCCAAUCCGCAAUACAUGGAAACUUCUGUUAUGGUUAGUGACACCAACAACACUGAUCAUGAAACCAACUACGCUGAUUCUGUGACUGUAACAAAAAAAAACAAUUACUAUGAAAAUGGACAAAAUUCGAAAUGACUUUGUAAGCAUUGCACAACAGAUUUGUAGGAGAGAUAUUCCAAAUGCCAUUGGAGAGCUUCACUCACUCAGAGGGCUAAACCUUUCCCAUAACAGAUUUAUUGGUCCUAUUCUACAAUCCAUUGGAAAUUUGACAAAGUUAGAAUCAUUGGAUCUCUCCUCAAAUAUGCUCACUGGCGGGAUACCUAGAGAAUUAAGCAAUUUGAACUUUCUUGAAGUCCAAAAUCUUUCCAAUAACCAUCUUGCAUUUGUGGGAGAAAUACCUCAAGGAAAACAGUUCAGUACUUUUUCCAAUGACUCCUAUGGUAGAAACUUGGGGUUGUGUGGACUCCCAUUGACAGCAGAAUGCAGCAAGGACCUUGAACAACAUUCUCCACCUUCACUAACCGUUGGGGGAGAACAGGGAGUUGGAUUUGGUUGGAAACCAGUGGCUAUGUGAUAUGGAUGCGGAAUGGUCUUUGGAGUGGGAAUGGGAUGUUGUGUAUUGUUAAUAGGAAAGCCUCAAUGGCUAGUGAGAAUGGUUGGAGGUCAACUCAAUAAAAAGGUGAAAUGGAAGACAAGGAUGAGAGCUAAUGAGAAUGGUAGCAGACUGAAUUAGUUGAUAUGUGGCAUGACUGUAGAAUGUCUUCUUGCACACCUUCCUGUUGAAAUUCAAUUCUGCCUUGUUGGAAAACAAAACUUAAGGGCAAGAACCUUAUCACACUGCAUUGCAUAUGCAUGCGAGAUCUGAUUCAAAGUUUAGUUGUAAUUGUAAUAUGGUGUUGUACUUUUUUUUCUUUGUGUUCAAUAAAUGAGUGUGAUAUACUUUUUUUUUUCUUCCAUUGCCCCAGAAACUCGGGUCUGAAUCAUCCAAAAGUUUGAUAAUUUUUCUGUUCAUUAAUACGCUUAGAUUGUUUUAUUUUUUUAAACUUUUUUAUAUUGGUGAAUAGUAUCAAGUUAAGUAGUGAAUAAUGUGUUGACAAUCAACAAUCAUUUCGCUAAUAUGCUGCAUAUUAGAAAAUUGUAGCAGUCAUUAAUACCAAUUUGCAUUAUGCACGCUAUUUUGAUCCCAUUGCUGUUGUGGAAGUAGUUUUGCUCCAGACAAGGAAUGGAAAUUGACCAGGAAUUUUGUUUUUUUGUGCCAUCGAUUGAGUUUGUAUAAGUGAAGAUAUGUUGAUCUUCUGACAACCUUUUUUUUUUCGAAAUUAUAAUAAUUACUAGUUCGCUAUCUAAAUUCAUGGGAAAUUGAAAAUUGAUUCCCACGAAACUGUAUUCUUCUUCUACAUUACACUUCUCAGGUGUUCAUAGAAGUCCUCUUCCUACUGGUAAGCCGUAUCAUAUUCACUCUCCCUUGCAUUCUGAUUUUUACUUAUAAAUAAGUUAAUGUCUAAGAGCAGGGUUGAAUGAGCGUAAAAAAAGAGAUAUUUUCUAUGAAGUUUUAAAACAAAUUUUACCGAAUUACAUUGUAAUUGAUCAAAUUCCAGAACCAGCCAUUUUGUAUUCUGUUCUGUUAGGCUCUAGCGUAGCUAACCCUAUACGAACUGGCUUAGCACACUUUACAUUAGUGGUUGGGUCUUGAACAUAUAUAGUUUCUUAUGCUUUAAAUUAAUAUUAAGCAUUGUGUUACUUCUAUGAUUGAGACAGCUAAUAGAGGAUGGGGUUGGAUUUUGGAAAUAAGGGGCUCAGAUACAAGUCUAGAUCCUCUUUAGUUUGUGAACUAAAAUUUUUGUUUUGGUUUUGCCUAUCUCUUAAUCUCUUAAGCUAUUAAAAUUAUUCUAGAAUCCACCUAAAGUUUUUUAUUCAAAAAUAAGUGUUGGAGUCUUAAGAUAAUGGUAUCAAGUUUAUUUAUGUAAUUUGUUUUUGGUGACCUAUUGCGGAAAAUCUUUUUAGUAUUUACUUUCUUGGAUUUUUCAAAAAAUUGAUAUUAGAGUCAAUCUUCGAUUUAGUGACCGGUUUAGACGAGGAAGAUGACGUUGAUGAAUUUAUGGAUAUAGAAUUUAUUGUAUCAAAAGUCUUUCUAUCAGCUGAAUUCAUGCAUAAAUGUCACGUAGCAAAGUUGUAGGUGUUACAAUAGUGCAAGCUACUAGAACAUGUUAUGACAAUGGCUAGACAAGCUAGAGACAAUAAAAAUUAAGUUUUAUGGGUCACCAUUAAAUAUUCUUAGAUUGAAAAUGACUUUCGGUCUUGACUUGAGAGCCUUUUUCUUAGUUUACACCUCGGCUGUGCCAUUAACAAUUGAUAAUGCUGUCUAGCAAGCUAUAUUGUGAAGAUAAAUACUUCUCUCCAUAUUUGUCCAUUUUACAUAUUUCCUGGUGUCAAAAUAUUAUUUUUAUUGUAUUUUUAUAUUUCCUGGUGUCAAGUAUCAAUGAUAAGUUUUACCAAAAAAUAAUAAUCAAUAACUAUAGUUAUGUAUAUAAGGAUAAUAAUUAUUUGACCUCUACAACAGGAUCCUAGUAUGAAGUAGUUCUGUAUGUAAAUCUUGCACAGACAAGCCAAAAUAAUAUAGCAUUGAUCAACCUGUUAAUUAGAAGAAUCAAGUUAAAAGCAGCUUGAAAAAGAGCAGGUAUAUGUAAAUAAUAGAAUACGGGGCCAUCUUGCAGUUGAGAGCGUCAUCUUUCUCCUCAUUUUGGAAUCACUCAAAUCCAAAUUUUGUAGAUUGAGAUAAUAUCAAAAUUUAAAACUUGUUCUAGGUCGUGUUUGGUGUGCAAAUUCUAUCUUAGAAGAUCCAAUUUGAACCAAGCACGUGGUUUCCCAUCACUUCUAUACUUGAAAAUAUAAAUAUGCUACAUUAAAGAGUUUUAUUCCAUUGAAUAUUCUUUCAGAAAAUGAUUUCGCAUUGGAUGUUCCUUCUUUCUAAAUGUGAUCUUUAAAACAAUGUAGAAUUUAUAAAAAAAAAUUGCGUGUAAUGUUCCUUCUUUAACAAAGGGGUCUUUGAACAAUUUUAAAUUUUAUAAACAUUUACUAAUUCUUUUUCUGUCGAUCACCAGAGGCUUAGUAUUAGAAUUUCAAAAUUUAGAUGUGAAAGGACGAAAACUGCAAUGUGAAAAGUGAAAGUUGUUACGUGGAAGUAUAUAUGGCAAAACGAAAAGAAAAAUUGGAAAGAACAAACUCCGUGUGAGCAUCACUAAUUAAAGUUAAAGUUGGACUAAAUUAAAAGAACCAAUAAAAACAAAAGUAAGAUCACUAAUUAAAGUUAAAGUUAGACUAAAAAAAAGAACCAAUACAAACAAAAGUAAGAGAAAUAAAAGGCAACAACUUACAGGUACCUCUCCAAAUACUUGCAAGCUUAAUAAAAUAAUUAAUGAAAAUCUAAUAAUAAAAAAUGGAGGAAAUAGCCAACAUACCUGCAAUAUAUUACCAUGCAUUGUUACAUCUCUACCACAAAACAUGAAUAUCUAAUCUUAUUGGAAACGAUAUUAAUGGAUGAAAUGAUAAACAUCUCUUUUUAAACCUUAUACAUCAUUCACAUAAUUAUUUCAUGUAUCUUGUUUAACAUUUUCUAAUUUUAAUUUAUAUUUUCUUCUUCGUAAAUAUAAAGAUAUGUACACCAAUUAACAAAGUUCAUGUUGUUUACAACUUCCUUUAAAAACAAUGUUGUUUACAACUUAUUUUCUACAUUAAUUAUUAUCUUAAUCUUUUUUUUUCAAACAAAACUCAUACUCAAUUUUUCAUAUAAAAAUUAGUUCUAACAUUUAAUUUUAUUCUCAAUGUUAAGCAACCACAUUAAUAACACUUUCAAAUCAUCCACCGUAUUCUAACAAUGUCCAACUCCUAAAUUGUGACAGAUAUAAGUUUUCUAACUUAUAAAUAUUUUAAUUACUAAAUUAAAUUUUUGACAAAUAUUAAUUUUAAAAAUAUGUUAAUUUUAUACAUAUGCUUUCAACGAAUAUUUUAGAAUUAUGUAUUUUUUAAUUUAAUAUAAUAUUUUUUUAAAUAUUUCUAACAUCUUGAAAUUAUAUCAUAUACAAUUAUUAAUUUACAAAUAACUUUAUAAAUGAUAUAAUUUUGACAAAUAAAUUUUUUAUGUAUAAUUUCAAAAAAUAUUUUAUAAUUUAAUUUUUUUAUAGUUUAAGGUAAUAUUUAUAUUUUAAAUAUUUUUUCUCCGAAUUAUAGUUUAAGGUAAUUUAUUUUUCAAGGGUUAAUAUUAUUGUUAGAGUCUGUUUAGCAAGCACUAUGAGUCUGUUUCACAAGUCACUCCAGUAGCUUAUAAUUUUGUUUGACUAGCAUAUAAGUUGAUUUUAUCAAAAUAAGUUUGGGUAUCAAAACAAACUUAAUUUAAUAACUUUUAGCUUAUUUUCAGACGCUAUUUCAACUAGUAUUUUAGCUUAUAAGUUAUUAAUUUAUUUUUAUAUUUAUAUUUUAUUAUUUUACUUUGAAUUAUUUUUUAUCCUUUUUUAAAUAAAACAAAUUUAUUUAAUUAAAAUAUAAUUUUUUAGAAAAAGAAGGACACAAGUCAUAAAAAAUAAAAAAAACUACAACACUCCAUUGUUUUCAAAAGUCAUAAAUCCAUAUACAUGAAGAGGGUUAAACAAAUUCAUCAAGUCUCUAUCAUUCUUUUAUAGUAUCAAACUAAAAUUAUUUUCCUAUUUUUAUAGGAUAAUAAAUUAUUACUAUAAAAAAGAUUAUAAAUUAUUAAAAAUAAAUUCAUAUAUAUAUAAUUAUAACCAAAUAACUAAAAUAGUUUUCUUAUUAACAAAUCUUAUGGGAAAAAAAUUAAUUCAAUGAGCUACCUCACAAGCUAGUUCUGUCUGGCACACCCUAGCUAUUUCUUCCUUUGAAAUAUUUUUUGUUUGAAUUGUUUAGAUUUAAAUAUAUUUUUAAUUCUUACUAAAAAAAUUUAAUUUUGUCUUUUGUCCCUGUUAAAUUAUUGUUAACUUUUUGGUCCUUAAUAAAAAAAUUUAUUUUAUUUUUUGACUUUGGAUUUAUUUAGAUAGGGCUUUAAAAAUGAAAUAAAAUUAUUUUCAAAGUUAUUUAAGAAAAAACAAAACAAAAAUAUUAUUACAAACCAAAAAGUUAAUGGAAAUUUAUCAGGAAUUAAAGAACAAAAUUUUAAGAUUUAUGAACAACCAAAAAUAUAUUUAAACAGUUUAUAAAACAAAGAGAACAUGAAAAAUCAAUCAUUAUGCUAUUCUCCUUGAACAAGAGUUAUAAUUUCCAUCUAGUACUUCUUUAUUUGUGGAUAUUGAAAUUAUUCGAUGUAACGCCUUUAAAAUAAAUUUCAGAGAGCAACUCAGCCCAUACACUAGAUUGUGUUCUACCUUGACAGUUGAAAAAAAUGCAUUAAAAAGAAGGAUUUGCCGUGAAGGUUCAAGACAAUACAUGCAUGUUUAAUUUUAAAUGAUGAUGAUAUAAACACUAUAAGGUUAUUUGUUAUUUAUUUGAUAAGUUAACUGACUGAAUAUUUAAUUCCACUCCACUACUUGCUAAAACUGACCACCCUCAUCCGAUUCACCGAAGGUUUACAAAAUUCGCUCCGUCAUGUUAUUCCAUUUCUAGUUGGUAUUUUAAAGGGAAAAAAAUGGUUAAAUAAAGAUAUGAAGCAGAAAAAUCAAAUAAAUCAUGUUUGCAGAAAAAUGAGUUCCAAGUCAUGCGUGAGGGAUGGGCUGUUGAAGUCUUGAAGCUUAAUUUAGCCACAAACUUUGCAUAGUGUUUUUAAUUUGGGUAUAAAUAUUAGUGUUUGGUUCCUCAGUAUUUCAUGUAUAUUUUCCCUUAUAGUAAACAGUUUUGAGUAGAAUAUGGAAUCAUGGAUGUGGUGUUUCCUUCUCUGUUCCCAUUUGCUCAUCCUUUAUUUUUCACCCUCUCAUUCCUUAUGCCACCCCCAUGACAACUCUGCCUUGCUCCACUUCAAAAACUCCUUCACUAUUUAUGAAGAUCCUUAUUAUUCUUAUUAUUGUGAUCAUGGUUAUUCAAAGACGACAACAUGGGAAAAUGGGAGAGAUUGUUGCUCUUGGGCUGGAGUCACCUGCCACCCCAUCUCAGGUCACGUCACUGAGCUCGACCUCAGCUGCAGUGGCCUUCACGGCAAUAUCCAUCCAAACAGUACGCUUUUCCAUCUUUCUCAUCUUCACUCACUCAACCUUGCUUUCAAUCAUUUGUAUACAUCUCAUUUGUCAUCUCUCUUUGGUGGGUUUGUGAGCCUCACACAUCUCAACUUGUCUCAUUCUGAAUUUGAAGGGGAUAUUCCUUCCCAAAUCUCUCACCUUUCCAAAUUAGUCUCACUUGAUCUCUCGUACAAUUUGUUAAAGUGAAAGGAAGACACUUGGAAGAGUUUGCUAAAAAAAUGCAACAGUUUUAAAGGUGCUUCUUUUGGAUUUUACAGAUAUGUCUUCCAUUUCAAUCAGGACACUCAAUAUGUCUUCUUCUUUGGUAACUCUUGGUCUUCUAGCAAAUGGGCUAAGCGGAAAGUUGACAGAUGGCAUUCUUUGUUUACCAAAUCUUCAGUACCUAUAUCUUUCAUUUAAUGAGGACCUUCAUGGUCAGCAGCUUCCAGAAAUGAGUUGCAGCACAACUUCUCUUGGUUUCUUAGAUCUUUCAGGUUGUGGUUUCCAAGGGUCAAUCCCUCCCUCUUUCUCUAACCUCACACAUCUUACUUCCCUGGAUCUCUCAGCUAACAACCUCAAUGGUUCAGUCCCAUCCUCACUCUUAACCCUUCCACGGCUAACCUUUCUGAAUCUAAACAAUAACCAACUCAGUGGUCAAAUCCCAAAUAUUUUUCCUAAGUCAAACAACUUUCACGAAUUGCAUUUGAGUUAUAACAACAUAGAGGGUGAGAUCCCAUCAACACUUUCAAAUCUUCAACAUCUCAUUAUCUUGGAUCUGUCACUUUGUGAUUUCCAAGGUUCAAUCCCUCCCUCUUUCUCUAACCUCAUACUUCUUACUUCCCUGGAUCUCUCAUAUAACCACCUCAACGGUUCAGUCCCAUCCUCGCUCUUAACCCUUCCACGGCUAACUUUUCUAAAUCUCAAUGCUAAUUGUCUCAGUGGUCAAAUCCCAAAUGUCUUUCUUCAGUCAAACAACAUUCACGAAUUGGAUUUGAGUAAUAACAAAAUAGAGGGUGAGCUGCCAUCAACACUUUCAAAUCUUCAACGUCUCAUUCUCUUGGAUCUUUCACAUAAUAAAUUUAUUGGUCAAAUCCCAGAUGUGUUUGUCGGGCUAACCAAAUUGAAUAGUCUCAAUCUUUCGGAUAACAAUUUAGGAGGCCCAAUCCCAUCUUCAUUAUUUGGCUUAACACAAUUUUCUUACUUGGAUUGUUCUAAUAAUAAAUUGGAGGGCCCCCUGCCGAACAAAAUAAGAGGGUUUUCAAAUCUAACAUCGUUAAGGUUAUAUGGCAACUUCCUGAAUGGAACAAUUCCUUCUUGGUGUUUAUCUUUGCCAUCUUUGGUGGAUUUAUAUCUAUCAGAAAACCAAUUCUCAGGGCAUAUUAGUGUAAUCUCAUCAUAUUCAUUGGUGAGAUUAUCUUUAUCCCACAACAAGUUACAAGGCAAUAUUCCAGAUACAAUUUUCAGCCUUGUAAACCUUACUGACUUAGAUCUAUCAUCAAACAAUUUAAGCGGAUCUGUCAACUUUCCACUUUUCUCAAAGCUUCAAAAUUUGGAAAGACUUAAUCUUUCACAUAAUAAUCAGUUAUCACUAAAUUUCAAAUCCAAUGUCAAUUAUAGUUUUUCCAGUUUAUGGAGUUUGGACUUAUCUUCUACGGGUUUAACUGAAUUUCCAAAAUUAUCAGGAAAAGUCCCAAUUUUGAAAUUACUCCAUUUGUCCAAUAAUACACUUAAAGGUAGAGUACCAAAUUGGUUGCACGACACGAACUCAUCGUUAUAUUUAUUGGACCUCUCUCAUAACCUAUUGACGCAAUCAUUGGACCAAUUCUCAUGGAACCAACACCUCGUUUACCUUGAUCUUAGUUUUAACUCAAUCACUGCUGGCUCUUCCUCAAUUUGCAAUGCAACUGCAAUUGAGGUUCUCAACUUAUCUCACAACAAGUUGACAGGAACCAUUCCACAAUGCCUUAUUAACUCAUCAACCCUGGAAGUUUUGGAUCUGCAACUGAACAAGCUUCAUGGCCCUUUGCCAAGUACCUUUGCAAAGAACUGUCAGCUCAGAACUCUAGAUCUCAAUGGCAACCAAUUAUUAGAAGGUUUUCUGCCAGAAUCUUUGUCCAAUUGCAUUAAUCUGGAGGUUUUAAAUCUUGGAAACAAUCAAAUAAAGGAUGUGUUUCCCCAUUGGCUUCAAACUCUACCAGAAUUGAAAGUAUUGGUUUUGAGAGCCAACAAGUUGUACGGUCCCAUUGAGGGUUCAAAGACCAAGCAUGGAUUCCCCAGUUUAGUUAUUUUUGAUGUCUCUUCCAACAACUUCAGCGGCUCAAUACCAAAUGCCUACAUAAAAAAAUUUGAAGCCAUGAAGAACGUUGUUCUAUAUCCCGAUUGGCAAUACAUGGAAAUUUCUAUUUCUUUUGCAGAAACCAACUACCAUGAUUCUGUGACUAUAACAACAAAAGCAAUUACUAUGACAAUGGACAGAAUUCGAAAUGACUUUGUAAGCAUUGAUUUAUCCAAAAACAGAUUUGAAGGAGGGAUUCCAAAUGCCAUUGGAGAGCUUCAUUCACUCAGAGGACUCAACCUUUCCCAUAACAGGCUUAUUGGUCCUAUUCCCCAGUCCAUGGGAAAUUUGAGAUACUUAGAAUCAUUGGAUCUCUCCUCAAAUAUGCUCAUUGGUGGGAUACCUACAGAAUUAAGCAAUUUGAACUUUCUUGAAGUCCUAAAUCUUUCCAAUAACCAUCUUGUGGGAGAAAUACCUCGAGGACAACAGUUCAAUACUUUUCCCAAUGAUUCCUACAAGGGAAACUCUGGGUUAUGUGGACUCCCACUGACAAUCAAAUGCAGCAAGGACCCUGAACAACAUUCUCCACCUUCAACUACCUUCAGGAGAGAACCAGGAUUUGGAUUUGGUUGGAAACCAGUGGCUAUAGGAUAUGGAUGUGGAGUGGUCUUUGGAGUGGGAAUGGGAUGUUGUGUAUUGUUAAUAGGAAAGCCUCAAUGGCUUGUGAGAAUGGUCGGAGGUAAACUCAAUAAAAAGGUGAAAAGGAAGACAAGGAUGAGAUCUAAUGAAAAUGGUAGCAGAAUGAAUUAGUUGAUAUAUGGCAUGACUGGAGAAUGUCUUGUUCCAUACCUGCCAUCUUUGAAAACAAAACUUAAGGGCAAGAACUUUAUCACACUGCAUUGCAUGGGAGAUCUGGUUCAAAGUUUUGCUGUAAUAUGAAUGUGUUAUACUUUUGCUUUUUGUGUUCUUUUUUUGUUUGUUAUGUGUAGAAGAGUGCAUGUACUUCAUUUGCCUUGAGCUUGCAGUUUUGAUUUAUUUAAUACGUAUAACUGUAGCAUUAAUUGGUUGUAUAAUAAUAGAUGUUGUAUAUUUUUAAAAAUGAUAUGUAUUGGCCAAUGCUAAAAUAUUUUGUAUCUUAACAGUAUGCAGUUGUCUCAUUUCAUUGAAGGAGCUCAAUUCACGGUUUUAGCUUGUAUUGUAGUCUAUUUACUUAAUUUGCUAAAUUAUCAAACUGUUAUUCAAAAUAAAAUAAGCAUUAGUGACUUUUAUAAUAAUUACCUUAAUGAUUAAAUAUAUUUUUAUUUUCAAUAAAUAGUUGAUUUUUUUGUUUAUUUCCCAAUAAAAAAAAUUAUUUUGAGUACCUUAUAAAAUAAUAAAUUUUUUUGUUUCCCAGAUAUUUUUUUUGUAAUCCCUAAUAAAUUAGCACAUUUUUGUUUACUCCCUCUUAAAUUAACGAAUUUUGUUUUAAUCCUGAUUAAUAAUAAAUAAAAAAAAUUAUUAAGAAAUAAAUAAAUACACAAUUUGUGAAUUUAUCAUGGACUAAGAAAAGUAUCAAGGAUCAAAAUAAAAUGAUUUUUUUAUUUGAAACUCAACGGAAAGUAAAAUUUUAUUAAAAAUUAAAUAUUUAUUAGUUAUUAAAAUUAUAGUUAAAACUUAUCUUAAAGAUUAAAUAUAUUAUAAUUUUUAUUUGGUUCACAACAUAUAAAUAUUUACCAUUGUUAAAAUAUACUAUAAUUUCUCUUAAAUUAUUUUAAUGAAAAUAAAUAGUAAAAUAGUAGGAACUUAAUCUAAGUUACGUUUAGUAAAUAUUGGGUAAAAUUGGUAAGAGUGUGAGAAACUUAAUUAUUUAUCACUACCAAAUAUGUGGAUCAACUAAUGUGGGUUGUUGAGCCAGAGACUCAUGAGAAAAAAUAUUGUCUCAUAGUGAGAAGAAUAAAUCAUAAAAAAUAGAAAAGAUAAUAAAUUUGUUCAAUAUGAUUUAGACCUUCAUCCUUGUAUUAACAAUCUGAUACAUUUUAAGGACAAUUUAGACAAACUUACAAACAUUCUCUUCUAACGAUUCCCCUAUCUUAGUUAGGGUAGUGAUAUUUUCUUCACACUAGAUGUGGUGAUUCUUUUUAUCUCAAAAAAUUUCUAUUUACAGAUCUAACUAAUCUUAAAUGAAUUCAAAUCCAUAAUUUACAAAUAAUAUAUUUAAUUCUAAAUGGUAUCCUAAAAAUAAGAUAAUAUGUUUUUAAAAAUCUAAACAAUAUCCUAUAAAUUUGAUAUUCAUUGAUUGGACCAUCAUUAAUUCCUACAUACCCAACCUCUAUAUAAGUUUUUAUGACAAGUUAGACAAACUUACAAAUAUUUCCUCUACAUGACUCAAUCUCUCUUAGGGUGUUGACCUAGGCUGAGUGAUUAUUCUCAUCUCAUAAAUCUUAUUUUAUAGACAUAACAUCCUAAUCUUAAAUAAGAAAACAAAUAUCUAAGGGUGUGUUAGGUUUGCAUUUUUAUUUUUUAUUUUCAUUUCCUGUUUUUAUUUUCUGAAAACUGUUUUCAUUUUUCAAAUAUUAGAAUUCUAAAAACAUGUUUGGUUUGAUUUUUUGUUUUAUGUUCUCAGGAAAUAAAAACACUGAAAAUUUAUGAUAUAUUAACUUCUUGUUUUUUUUUGUAUUUUUAGAUUUGCUUAAAAUUACAUUCUUUGCCAUUACGUUUUUAUUUUAUCCAAAAUAAGGGUCCUGUUUUAACUGAAAACGAGAUGUUAUUGUUUUCAUUUUCUGGUUGUUUCCUAUUUUCAUUUUCACUCAAAAUGUUUUUAAAAAUCGAAUCAAACACAUCUUCAUCAUUAUUUUCUGUUUUCAGUGAAAAUGAAAACAAAAAACAACCAAAUCAAACACCUCCUAAUUUAUUAAUAAUAUAUUUAAUUUUAACAACAUUCUAAAAAUAAGAUAAUAUUUUGGUUAAGAAAACAAUAUCUGACAAAUUUGAGAAUACAAAUUUAAAUUAUUUCCUAAUAAAGUCAUCGAUAUGUAGUUAAAUACUUAGAAAAAGAGUUUCAUCAUCCAUAAUAAUCAUAUUGACUCAAACAAGAUUAUCUUCAAUCAAAUAUACCUAUCUACGGAAGAAAGACCUAUGUAAGAUAAAUCUAACAUGAAGCCAAGUUGGACUUAUGUAGAUCAAUUAACCAACUAAUCCCUAUGCCCACUCAUCACCUAAGCUCAACCAAACUCGCUUAAGCCCCAACCCUGCAUCGCUUAAGCUCUUAGCCAACACCACUUAAGCUACAUCAAAAAACAUGUUAGUUUUUGUGCCCAUUCUAGCUUAAGCGCUACCCAACACCACUUAAGCUACUUCAAACUAAUUUACUCAAAUUAAAAAAAUAAUAAUGAUUCUACUAUUUAAUCACUACACAUUAAAUACCUAAUUUAUUAUCCGCUUAUCAAGCAACUGGUCCAUUUAUCUUUUUUAUUUGUUUAUUACAUGUAAUUUUUAUUUCUUUUAUUUUUUAAAAUCUAAAAUUUUGAUCUCUAUUUUAAAAUAAAGAUAUUUAGUCUAUUAUUUUUUACAAUCUAAAAUUUUAGUUUUCUAAUUUAAAAUAGAAAUAUUAGUCUUUUAUAUUUAUAAAAUAUGUAAUUUUAGUUAUCCCAACUAAAAGCAUUGUCUGCUAAGAGCUUAAUUUUAAUUAUGAUACAGAUUAAAUAAAUUAUCUUGUAUCACAUUAUUAAAUUUGAAUCACAUUAAGUUAGCUUCUUAUUAAUUAACGCUAAAUGAUUAUGUGGAUAUAGGCAUACGGAUGAUUAAAAUGAUGAAUUUUAUAAAAUUAAGUAAUUAUAUGUUUUUAUUUUAAAAUAGAAGUAUUACAAUUGUAAAAUAUAAAAAUUAAGAAGAUUAAAUAUUUUUUAAAAUAUAGAUAUUAAAAUUAAAUAUUUUGAAAAUAGGAAAAAAAAUAUAUUUAAGUUUUCUUUUACCGGAGGUCCAUAUGUCCAGUACUUAGAAAUCUCGUCAUGAUAAAAAUGCGUCACUAGAGCAUAAUAUAAUAGCAUGAAGAACGUCAUUAUAAUUACAUUUAAGCCAUGAAGAACGUUGUUAUAUAUGCCAAUCCGCAAUACAUGGAAACUUCUGUUAUUGUUAGUGACACCAACAACAUUGAUCAUGAAACCAACUACGCUGAUUCUGUGACUGUAACAACAAAAGCAAUUACUAUAUGAAAAUGGAUAAAAUUUGAGAUGACUUUGUAAGCAUUGAUUUAUCGCACAACAAAUUUGAAGGAGAGAUUCCAAAUGCCAUUGGAGAGCUUCAUUCACUCAGAGGGCUAAACCUUUCCCAUAGCAGGCUUAUUGGUCCUAUUCCCCCAUCCAUGUGAAAUUUGACAAAUUUAGAAUCAUUGGAUCUCUCCUCAAGUAUGCUCACUGGCGGGAUACCUAGAGAAUUAAGCAAUUUGGACUUUCUUGAAGUCCUAAAUCUUUCCAAUAACCAUCAUGUGGGAGAAAUACCUCAAGGAAAACAGUUCAGCAGUACUUUUUCCAAUGACUCCUAUGAUAGAAACUUGGGGUUAUGUGGACUCCCAUUGACAGCAGAAUGAAGCAAGGACCUUGAACAACAUUCUCCACCUUCACUAACCUUUGGGGGAGAACAGGGAUUUGGAUUUGGUAGAAAGCAGUGGCUAUAAUGCGGAAUGGUCUUUGGAAGGGGAAUGGGAUGUUGUGUAUUGUUAAUGGGAAAGCCUCAAUGGCUUGUGAGAAUGGUUGGAGGUCAACUCAAUAAAAAGGUGAAAUGGAAGACAAGGAUGAGAUCUAAUGAAAAUGGUAGCAGAACGAAUUAGUUGACAUGUGGCAUGACUGUAGAAUGUCUUCUUGCUCACCUUCCCGUUGAAAUUCAAUUCUGUCUUGUUGGAAAACAAAACUUAAGGGCAAGAACCUUAUCACACUGCAUUGCAUAUGCAUGGGACAUCUGAUUCAAAGUUUAGUUGUAAUUGUAAUAUGGUGUUGUACUUUUUUUUCUUUGUGUUCGAUAGAUGAGUGUGAUAUACUUUUUUUUUUACUUCCAUUGCCCCAGAAACUCGGGUCUGAAUCAUCCAUAAGUUUGAUAAUUUUUCUGUUCAUUAAUACGCUUAGAUUGUUUUAUUUUUUUUAACUUUUUUAUAUUGGUGAAUAGUAUCAAGUUAAGUAGUGAAUAAUGUGUUGACAAUCAACAAUCAUUUCACUAAUAUGCUGCAUAUUACAAAAUUGUAGCAGUCAUUAAUACCAAUUUGCAUUAUCGACGCUAUUUUGUUCCCAUUGCUGUUGUGGAAGUACUUUUGCUCCAGACAAGGAAUGGAAAUUGACCAGGAAUUUUGUUUUUUUGUGCCAUCGAUUGAGUUUGUAUAAGUGAAGAUAUGUUGAUCUUCUGACCACCUUUUUUUUCGAAAUUAUAAUAAUUACUAGUUCGCUAUCUAAAUUCAUGGGAAAUUGAAAAUUGAUUCCCACGAAACUGUAUUCUUGUUCUACAUUACACUUCUCAGGUGUUCUUAGAAGUCCUCUUCCUACUGGUAAGCCAUAUCAUAUUCACUCUCCCUUGAAUUCUGAUUUUUACUUAUAAAUAAGUUAAUGUCUAAGAGCAGGGUUGAAUGAGCGUAAAAAUUAGUUUGUAUGCUUUAAAUUAAUAUUAAGCAUUGUGUUACUUCUAUGAUUGAGACAGCUAAUAGAGGAUGGGGUUGGAUUUUUGAAAUAAGGGGCGCAGAUACAAGUCUAGAUCCUCUUUAGUUUGUGAACUAAAAUUUUUGUUUUGGUUUUGCCUAUCUCUUAAGCUAUUAAAAUUAUUCUAGAAUCCACCUAAAGUUUUUUAUUCAAAAAUAAGUGUUGGAGUCUUAAGAUAAUGAUAUCAUUAAGAUAAUGAUAUCAAGUUUAUUUAUGUAAUUUGUUUUUGGUGACUUAUUGCAGAAAAUCUUCUUGAUAUUUACUUUCUUGGAUUUUUCAAAAAAUUGAUAUUAGAGUCAAUCUUCGACAUAGUGACCGGUUUAGACAAGGAAGAUGACGUCGAUGAAUUUAUGGAUAUAAAGUUUAUUGUAUCAAAAGUCUUUCUGUCACCUGAAUUCAUGCAUAAAUGUCACGUAACAGAGUUGUAGGUGUUAUGUACAAUAAUGCAAGAUACUAAAACAUGUUAUGACAAUGGCUAGAAGAGCUAGAGACACUAAAAAUUAAGUUUCAUGAGUCACUAUUAAAUAUUCUUAGAUUGAAAAUGACUUUCGGUCUUGACUUGAGAGCCUUUUUCUUAGUUUACACCUGGCUGUGCCAUUAACAAUUGAUAAUGCUGUCUAGCAAGCUAUAUUGUGAAGAUAAAUACUUCUCUUCAUAUUUGUCCAUUUUACAUAUUUCCUGGUGUCAAAAUAUUAUUUUUAUUGUAUUUUUAUAUCCUUUAAAAUAAAUUUGCUUUUGGAGUUUUCUCUUGGACGAGAUACCAUUCAAAGAAUUUCACAUAAUGUAAAUGCACGGGGUUCUUUUUUAAUUUUGAUUUUGUGGCAUUUAUCUCUAUAUUUGGUUGAUAUAUUUGAAACUUGAUAGCGCGAUUAGCUGAUGUAUCAGUCAACGGACCCUAGUAUGGAAAAAGAAUACGGUGAAGACAGAAUUUUUCCACAAACUAAUGUAUCAGCGUGAGUUUCCUUUAAUUUUCUUUUGAUUUAAAUAUUUUUGUGGACGUGUUUUAAUUUUCAUUUUUUGAUGUGAUUGGCGAGCUUAAUUUUCUAACCCAUAUUUUAAGGGUUGGCAGACUUGGAAAUCAACGCUUGGAUUUAAUUGAACUGGCUGUUUAUACAUGUUUUGUUUUUAGAAUCAUAUCACAUAUAUGUAGUCUGUUGGUGAAAGUAUAUAGUGGCAGCUUAUGUUUUGGGCAGAAAUUGUUUCCUCAAACUUUCAUGUGAUAAGACAAAUUAACUUCUGAAUUUUCACAAUAAUAUUCUUCUAUGCUAUCAUAAGAAGAAGAAAAAACCACCAAUAACUUGUAGAUGCAUGUUCUCUUAAACAGGUGGUAUUCUUCUAGACCCAAAAAAAAAGGUGGUAUUCUCUGUGUUCAAUUAUAUCUUUUGGCUGGGAUCUUCCUUUUUCAUAUGUUGGGGUUUAAAAUAUUUAAUAGGGAUUAAUUAACAGGAACAUAUCCAGAAAAUAAUAACAAGCUUAAACAUACAAAAUUAUGUUAAUUAAUAAAUUUCAUCACUAUAUAUUUUAUAUAAAAAAAUUAAUUAACCUGUAUAUAUAAUUUUUUAAAGAAAAAUAUGAGAGGGAAACCAUUCUUGUUUCAUUUGAUACUGCCAUGUUAAUCAAUCAUGUCUAAUAAAUAUUUUCUCCGAUUUCUAUUAUAAAAAAAUUAUUUCAUAUUUAUUAAAAAAUUAAUUACUUUUAUUAAAUUGUAUUAAUAUUAAAAUAUUUUUUUUCUAAAUUAUUCUUCACUAAAAGUUGAUAUGAAGCAUAAAAAUAUCCAGCCUUAUAUAUAUUGUAGGCCAACACACAUUUCAUUUGCUUUUCUUUAUGAAAAAAGUUAAAUUAAUAGAGGAUGGGAUUGCAUUUUGGAAAUAAAGGGCUCACAUACAAGUACCUAGGUACAGUUUAGUUUGUGGCCUUAAACUCUGUUUUGGUUUUACCUUUCCUCUUGUGCUAUUAAAAUUCUUCUAGCAUCCGUUCACAAGUUUUUUAUUCAAAAGUAUUUGACGUACUGUUAGUUUAGUUGUUGAGAGUCUUUUUGUACUCCAGAAUUAACUAUGCCAUUGACAAUGGAUAAUUCUGUCAAGCAUGCUAUAUUGUUAAGAAAAAUACUUCUCUCCUAGUUUGUUCAAUUUUACAAAUAUACGUAUAUCAAAUUUUGAUGGUGGUCUCAUUUUUUUGCCUCUAUUCCUUAUCUGCUUCCCUCACUUGGAAAAGUAAAAUGGUAUCAACAUAUUUUUUUUAUUGUAUUUUUAUAUUCUUUUGAAAUAAAUUUACUUUAGAGGAGUGUUUGGACCAGAUACCAUACAAACCAAUUAAAAAAUUUAAAUGCACGGUGUCUUUUUUAAUUUUUAUUUUGUGGCAUUUUUCCUCUAUAUUUGAUUGGUAUUUUUGAAACAUGAUUGCGAUUAGCUGAUGUAUAAAGUCAACGAACCCUAGUGUGGAAAAAUAAUACGGUGAAGACAGUUUUUCAACAACUAAUUUUAUCAGCCAGAGUUUCCUUUAAUCUUCUUUUGAUGUGAUUAGAGUGUCUAAUUUUCUAACCCAUAUUUUAAAGGUUGGAAGACUCGGAAAACAACUGUUUGGUUCAACUAGGAUUGAUUAUAUAUAUAAAACUCUGUGAAUUGAAUAAUAGUUGGGGGCGGGACCUAGGAUUUAUCUAGACAUAGCUUUCCAACUCUUAACAGCUAAAACUUCUAGACACAACCCCAAUUAGAAGAUCAACAGUACAUACACCUCAACUCAUGAAAAAAACCUCUAUAUUCCAUAGAUAAACUUAAAUUUCUCAAUUUAGGAUAUCUACAGUCCUAUACAACUGAUCAAGCGUACUCUCUAUCAAUUAAUGGAAUGUUGAGUAAUUUGAUCAAAUGAAGUUUCCAAUACAGGGUACCUCUUGCCCUUCAGUUUAGAGGUCUAAGCCAAUCACUUUAGGUAGGAUUUAAUCAAACCAUGACUUAAUUCAAUUAUAUUUUAAUGGAUUAAUUUGGGUCAACGGACGUAAUAAUUUAAUUUUUUUUUCUUUUUUAAAACCUAAUAUUUUGUAGAAAUUAAAUUUUUUAUUAAAUAAAUUAAAUAUAAUUAUUUCUUAUUAUAUUUUAUUAAAAAGAAAUUUUUGUGAUGUGACCGCAUCUUACUCCGCUAACUCCUAUUUAUCCAAAGGAAUUGGGAAAUUAAGUGUAUCAUAUCACAAGCUCUUUUUAAGGUUUAGCUUUAUUGGAAGAUCUUAUAAAUAGGAGAAAAAGUAAACUAUGCUGGAAAAAAAUGUUAAGCAAUGAAGUAGACAUUAAAGAAAAACAAAAAGAAAUAUUGAAUAGAAUUGUAUUGUUUAUAAUUUUUUACGUUAUCUUACUGUUUCUACUUUCUGCAAUACUUUUAUUUUAAUUUUUUAUUUAAUGUCUAAGAGUACCCGUAGUUGACAAGACACUUCUUGUAAACAAGAAGUCAUAUAAUAGAUAACUAGAAUAAGUUGAAUUUGGAUAAUAAUUUGAGUAUUCUCUGUCAUUGUGAGAGUUGUUCUUCUUUAAUAACUUUGAUUUUAUUAACAUAUUGCGAUUAUGAUCAAAUUCUACUUGUUCACUUUGCAUGAAUUUAACAUGAUCCUAUAAAUCGAUUCGUAUUAUUGUUUAUCAGACAAUAUAAUUAAUUGUUAGUACAGUGACCUGUGAGCACAUCUAUUUGUAUACAUAUGGUAUAGAUAAACUAUUGGUUUUUUCAAUUUGAGAACAAAUCUCCUAAUAUAAUUUUUGUUCAUUUCUAAUAUUUUACAAAAAUAUUGAUGUAACCGUAUUGUCAUCUCUAUUUUAAAUUUGGCAAUAACACAUCAAACUAAAUUAAAUAAAAUCGAAUUUCAAAUUUGGGAAUAACACAUUAUCUAAUAAUGACCUCCAAAUCAAUUUCGAUGACAAUGGUGUAACAACCUUAAUUAAUAACUUCUUUGACAUAUCUGCGUUCCUUCUUUGCAUAAAUUAACUUCCAAGUCAAUGCAAAACGUUUUGCAUGGGGUAGAAAAUGGGAAACUUUUUGGGAUACAAAUACCAAUUAUAUAUGUAAGUUCUAAAAGAUAGAAACUAUAUAACUCUAUUACUAUAAUAAAGAUCCAUUCUUUUUUAAUUGACAAAUUAUUUAGUUUAUUAAUUUUAUUUAUUCAAAUUAAUUUAUUCAAUGCUAUUUAAUUUCAGUCAACAAAUUGCUAUUUAAUUUAUUCAUCAAUACUCACUCACUUGCUAAAACUUAUUAUCCGUCUUCACUGAAGUCUAAAGGUUUACAAAUUAGAAAAUGCAUUUUAAAGAGAAAAAUUAAAACGAUAAAAUAGAUAUAUGAAGUAGAAAAAUCAAAUAAAUCAUGUUUGCAAAGAGUUCCUAGAGAUAAUAUAAUGAAAGGGUUGAGAAAUGAAUGUUGAUUUGCAUGAGGGAUGGGUUGUUGUAGUGUAUACUCCUUGCGUGUUAACAAAAUUAAUUUUAAAUGUAAUUGAUUUUGUAAAAUUGAUUUUGAAGUAAUUAAUGUUUGUAUGUUUUAUUAUAAAAUUAAAUUAACAAUAAAAUUUGUUAUAAAAUUUUAGAUUCAAUACAGAAAUUGUUUAAAACAUAUAAAAAUAUAUUUAAAAUUAAUUAUAGAUUCAAAAUCAAUUUUUCAUCGUGAAUCAAACAAUAAAAAGUCUCAAAAUGGUUGAUGAAGGAUAAUUUUUUUAAAAAAUUUAUCAUUUGGAGAUAAAAUUUAAGUUGAUAUUCCAAAAGGAAUAAGUCUUAAUAAAUAAUGCAACUUCUAAAUUAAAAAUAGUGAAAUUUGUUAUAACUUUUUUUUAUUUUUUACAUUAAAGUCAUAAGAAAUUUUAUGGACUUCAUUUUUAUUUUUUAAAUACGUCUAAAAUUUAAUUCUCAUAGACAUUAAAGUCAUAAUUUUUUUUAUUGAAUUCGUAAAUUAUUUUAUGACUUUAAUUUAUUUUGCAUCUGAUAUAUUUUUUAAAAUUAUAAAUAAUUUUUAUUUUGGUUAUUUAAUAAAUUAAUGAUUUUAGUUUUAUUUAAUAUUUUGGUUAUUUUGCUAAAACCACCCUCAUCCGAUUCACCAAAGGUUUACAAAAUUCGCUCCGUCAUGUUGUUUCAUUGCUAGUUGGUAUUUUAAAGGGAAAACAUGGUUAAACAAAGAUAUGAAGUAGAAAAAUAAAAUAAAUCAUGUUUGCAGAAAAAAUGAGUUCCAAGUCAAGUCAAUUUAAAUAGCAAUUGCUGGGACAACUUUGAUAGCGUGUAAAAGGAUCAUAAGAUUUAUGGUCAAUUUGCGUGAGGUUUGGGCUGUUGAAGACUUGAAGCUUAAUUUAGCCACAAAUUUUGCAUAUCAUCUUUUAAAUUUGGCUAUAAAUAUUAAUGUUUGGUUGCUCAGUAUUAAUUUCAUGUAUAUUUGAGUAGAAAAUGGAAUCAUGGAUGUGGUGUUUCCUUCUCUGUUCCCAUUUGCUCAUCCUUUAUUUUUCACCCUCUCAUUCCUUAUGCCACCCCCAUGACACCUCUGCCUUGCUCCACUUCAAAAACUCCUUCACUAUUUAUGAAGAUCCUUAUUAUUCUUAUUAUUGUGAUCAUGGUUAUUCAAAGACGACAACAUGGGAAAAUGGGACAGAUUGUUGCUCUUGGGCUGGAGUCAGCUGCAACCCCAUCUCAGGUCACGUCACUGAGCUCGACCUCAGCUGCAGUCGCCUUUACGGCAAUAUCCAUCCAAACAGUACGCUUUUCCAUCUUUCUCAUCUUCACUCACUCAACCUUGCUUUCAAUGAUUUUAAUUAUUCUCAUUUGUCAUCUCUCUUUGGUGGGUUUGUGAGCCUCACUCAUCUCAACUUGUCUAAUUCUCACUUUGAAGGGGAUAUUCCUUCCCAAAUCUCUCACCUUUCCAAAUUAGUCUCACUUGAUCUCUCUGGUAAUAAUUUGUUAAAGUGGAAGGAAGACACUUGGAAGAGAUUGCUCCAAAAUGCAACAGUUUUAAGGGUGCUUGUUUUGGAUCAAACAGAUAUGUCUUCCAUUUCAAUCAGGACACUCAAUAUGUCUUCCUCUUUGGUUACUCUUAGUCUAGGACUGACUUGGCUAAGAGGAAACUUGACAGAUGGCAUUCUCUGUUUACCAAAUCUUCAGCACUUGGAUCUUUCACUUAAUCGGGCCCUUGAAGGUAAGCUUCCAGAAGUGAGUUGCAGAACAACUUCUCUUGAUUUCUUAGAUCUUUCACUUUGUGGUUUCCAAGGGUCAAUCCCUCCCUCUUUCUCCAACCUCAUACAUCUCACUUCCCUGGACCUCUCAGGUAACAACCUCAACGGUUCAAUCCCUCCCUCUUUCUCCAACCUCAUACAUCUUACUUCCUUGGAUCUCUCAUAUAACAACCUCAACGGUUCAAUCCCAUCCUCACUCUUAACCCUUCCAUGGCUAAACUUUCUGUAUCUAAACUAUAACCAACUCAGUGGUCAAAUCCCAGAUGCCUUUCCUCAGUCAAACAGCUUUCACGAAUUGCAUUUGAGUGAUAACAAAAUAGAGGGUGAGCUGCCUUCAACACUUUCAAAUCUUCAACAUCUCAUUCACUUGGAUCUUUCACAUAAUAAAUUGGAGGGCCCUCUGCCUAACAAUAUAACAGGGUUUUCAAACCUAACAUCGUUAUGGUUAUCUGGAAACUUACUGAAUGGGACAAUUCCUUCUUGGUGUUUAUCUUUGCCAUCUUUGGUGGAUUUAGAUCUAUCAGGCAACCAACUCUCUGGGCAUAUUAGUGCAAUCUCAUCAUAUUCCUUGGAGACAUUGUUUUUAUCCCACAACAAGUUACAAGGCAAUAUUCCAGAAUCAAUUUUUAGCCUUCUAAACCUUACUCACUUAGAUCUAUCAUCAAACAAUUUAAGUGGAUCUGUCAAAUUUCAUCGUUUCUCCAAGCUUCAAAAUUUGGAAAAACUUCACCUUUCAUGGAAUGAUCAGUUAUCACUAAAUUUCGAAUCCAAUGUCAAUUAUAGUUUCUCUAAUUUAAAGUUGUUGAACUUAUCUUCUAUGGUUUUAACUGAAUUUCCAAAAUUAUCGGGAAAAGUCCCAAUUUUAGAAUCACUCUAUUUGUCCAAUAACAAACUUAAAGGUAGAGUGCCACAUUGGUUGCAUGAAGUAUCGUUAUCUGAAUUGAACCUUUCUCAUAACCUAUUGACGCAAUCAUUGGACCAAUUCUCAUGGAACCAACAACUCGGUUACCUUGAUCUUAGUUUUAACUCAAUCACUGGUGACUUCUCUUCCUCAAUUUGCAAUGCAAGUGCAAUUGAGAUUCUCAACUUGUCUCACAACAAGUUGACAGGAACCAUUCCACAAUGCCUUGCAAACUCAUCAUCCCUUCUAGUUUUGGAUCUACAACUGAACAAGCUUCAUGGCACUUUGCCAAGUAUCUUUUCAAAGGACUGUCGGCUCAGAACUCUGGAUCUCAAUGGCAACCAACUAUUAGAAGGUCUUUUGCCAGAAUCUUUGUCCAAUUGCAUUGAUCUGGAGGUUUUAGAUCUUGGAAACAAUCAAAUAAAGGAUGUGUUUCCCCAUUGGCUUCAAACUCUACCAGAAUUGAAAGUAUUGGUUUUGCGAGCCAACAAGUUGUACGGUCCCAUUGUCGGUUUAAAGAUCAAGCAUGGAUUCCCCCGUUUAGUCAUCUUUGAUGUCUCUUUCAACAACUUCAGCGGCCCAAUACCAAAAGCCUACAUACAAAAAUUUGAAGCGAUGAAGAACGUUGUUAUAGAUACCGAUCUGCAGUACAUGGAAAUUUCUAUUGGAGCUAAAAAGAUGUACAGUGAUUCUGUGACUAUAACAACAAAAGCAAUUACUAUGACAAUGGACAAAAUUCCAAAAGGCUUUGUCAGCAUUGAUUUAUCAAAAAACGGAUUUGAAGGAGAGAUUCCAAAUGCCAUUGGAGAGCUUCAUGCCCUCAGAGGGCUCAACCUUUCCCAUAACAGAAUUAUUGGUCCUAUUCCCCAAUCCAUGGGAAAUUUGACAAACUUAGAAUCAUUGGAUCUCUCCUCAAAUAUGCUCACUGGUGGGAUACCUACGGAAUUAAGCAAUUUGAACUUCCUUGAAGUCCUAAAUCUUUCCAAUAACCAUCUUGCGGGAGAAAUACCUCGAGGACAACAGUUCAGUACUUUUACCAAUGAUUCCUAUGAGGGAAACUCAGGGUUAUGUGGACUCCCACUGACAAUCAAAUGCAGCAAGGACCCUGAACAACAUUCUCCAACUUCAACUACCUUGAGGAGAGAAGGAGGAUUUGGAUUUGGUUGGAAACCAGUGGCUAUAGGAUAUGGAUGUGGAAUGGUCUUUGGAGUGGGAAUGGGAUGUUGUGUAUUGUUAAUAGGAAAGCCUCAAUGGCUUGUGAGAAUGGUCGGAGGUAAACCCAAUAAAAAGGUGAAAAGGAAGACAAGGAUGAGAUCUAAUGAAAAUGGUAGCAGAAUGAAUUAGUUGAUAUAUGGCAUGACUGGAGAAUGUCUUGUUACAUACCUGCCAUCUUUGAAAACAAAACUUAAGGGCAAGAACUUUAUCACACUGCAUUGCAUGGGAGAUCUGGUUCAAAGUUUUGCUGUAAUAUGAAUGUGUUAUACUCUUGCUUUUGUCGUAUAACUGUGGCAUUAAUUGGUUGUAUAAUAAUAGAUGUUGUAUAUUUUUAAAAAUGGUAUGUAUUGGCCAAUGCUAAAAUAUUUUGUAUCUUAAUUCAAGGAGCUGAAUUCACGGUUUUAGCUUCCAUUGUAGUCUAUUUAAUUAAUUUUCUAAGUAUUUAACCACCGUGAAAUGGCUUUAGAAGCUGAGGUUGAGGUCCAGGUAUAAGAGCACAAACAAUGCAUACUAAAGGAUGGCUAUGGGUAUAGCCUAGGCCUUAUGGUCCGUAGGAUAUCACAUAUUUAUUUUUUAUUAAGUAAUUUUUCCCAAAUUAGAACAAUUGUCUGGUGAAAAUUUUCAAACUUUGAAAUAAAAGUUGCAGUACUAAAAUCAGUUAUAAUUAAACCUAAACUUUUUCUUUUUCAAUUACUAUUACGAUAAAUUGGUAGUGGUACGUGCUGUAAAUAUUACAUCUACUUAUAAUGUCAGCACCCAAAAAUUAUUUUUAUAAUGUAAAAUUUACAUUGUCAUUAAUUUGCUUUAUUAAUUUUUAUUAUAACUAUUUUAAAUUUAUAUUAUUAUCAUAAAAUCUGAAAAAUCGUAUCUAUAAUUUUUAAUUAAGCGUAAAAUUUUGUAACUUUUAUAAAUUUUAGUAAAUAUUAAAAAAAUAUAUAAUAUAAUGCUAGUAUUUUUCAAAAAAAUCAACAUUAUCAUUAAAUAAACCUGUGUGUUGUACAAUAAUUCCCUUUUAUCAUUCAAAAGAAAAAUUGAAACUGUUAUUCAAAAUAAAAUAACCAUUAGUGAAUUUUAUGAUAAUUACCUUAAUGAUUAAAUAUAUUUAGUUAAUUUUUUUUGCUCCCUAAUAAAUUUUUGUUUUGUUUUGAGUAUUAUAUAAAACAAUAAUUUUAUUUUUGGUCCUAGAUAUUUUGUUGUAUAUAAUCCCUAAUAAGUUAGCAAAUUUUUGUUUACUUCCUUUUAAAUUAACAAAUUUUGUUUUAGUCCCAACUAAUAACAAAUGAAAAAAAUUAUCAAGAAAUAAACACACAAUUUGUGAAUCUAUCAGGGACUAAGAAAAGUAUCAAGAACCAAAAUAAAAUGAUUUUUUUAUUAGAAACUCAACGAAAAGUAAAAAUUUAUUAAAAAUUAAAUACAAAAAAUAAAUAUUUAUUAGGGAUUAAAAUUAUAAUUAAAACUUGUCUUAAAUAUUAAAUCUAUUAUAAUUAUUAAUUGGUUCACAACAUAUAAAUAUUUACACUUGUUAAAAUAUACUAUAAUUUCUCUUAAAUUAUUAGGUAAAAUUGGUAAGAGUGUGAGAAACUUAAUUAUUUAUCAAUACCAGCUAUGUGAAUGAACUAAUGUGAGUUUUUGAGCUAGAGACUCUUGGGAAAAAAAUAUUGUCUCAUAAUGAGAAGAAUACAUCAUAAAAAAAUAGAAAAUAUAAAAAUUUGUUUAAUAUGUUUCAACCCUCAUCCUUGCAUUGACAAUAUUAUACAUUUUAAGGAUAACAUAGAAAAAUUUACAAACAUUUUCUCCUUACGAUUUCCCCUCUGUUUGUUAGGGUAGUGACAGUUUCUUCGCACUAGAUGUGGUGAUUCUUCUCAUCUCAAAAAAUCUCUAUUUAUAAACCUAACAUUCUAAUAUUAACUGAAUUCAAAUCCUUAAUUUAUAAAUAAUAUAUUUAAUUCUAAAUGAUAUCCUAAAAAUAAGAUAAUAUCUUUUUUAAAAGCUAAACAAUAUCCUAUAGAUUUGUUAUUCAUUGAUUGAACCAUCAUUAAUUCCUACAUCCACAACUUUUAUAUAAGAUUUUAUGACAAGCAAGACAAACUUGCAAACCUUCCCUUGAUAUGACUCAUCUCUCUUAGGGUAUUGACCUAGGUUGAGUGAUUAUUCUUAUCUCAUAAAUCUUAUUUUAUAGACAUAACAUUCUAAUCUUAAAUGAGGAAACAAAUACCUAAUUUAUUAAUAAUAUAUUUAAUUUUAUCAACAUUCUAAAAAUAAGAUAAUAUCUUUUUUUAAGAAAAUAAAUAUCUUAUAGAUUUGAGAAUACAAAUAAGAUAUAUCUAACAAGAAGCAAAGUUGGACUUAUGUAGAUCAACCAACUAAUCCCUAUACCCACUCAUCACCUAAGCUCAGCCAAAACUCGCUUAGGCCUCAACCCUGCAUCGCUUAAGCUCUUAGCCAACACCACUUAAGCUACAUAAAAAAACAUGCUAAUUUUUGUGCCCAUUCUAGCUUAAGCGCUACCCAACACCAUUUAAGCUACUUCAAACUAAUUUACUCAAAUUAAAAAGAAUAAUGAUUCAACUAUUUAAUCACUACACAUUAAAUACCUAAUUUAUUUUCCGCACAUCACGCAACUGGUCCAUUUAUCUUUUUUAUUUAUUUCUUACAUGUAAUUUUCUUUUUAUUUUUUAAAAUCCAAAAUUUUCAUCUCUAUUUUAAAAUAAAGAUAUUUAAUCGAUUGUUUUUUACGAUCUAUAAUUUUAAUUUUCUAUUUUAAAAUAGAAAUAUUAGUCAUUUAUAUUUAUAAAAUAUGGAAUUUUAGUUAUCCCCAACUAAAAGCUUUGAUUGUUAAGAGCUUAAUCUUUAUUAUGAUAUAGAUUAACUAAAUUAUCUUGUGUCACAUUAUUAGAUUUGAAUCACAUCAAGUUAGCUUCUUACUAAUCAACGCUAAAUGAUUAUGUGGAUAUAAUCACAAAUGAUCAAAAUUAUAAAUUUUAUAACCUUAAGUAAUUAAUUGUUUUUAUUUUAAAAUAGAAGUAUUAAAAUUGUAAAAUAUAAAAAUUAAGACGGUCAAAUAUUUUUUAAAAUAUAGAAAUCAAAAUUAGAUAUUUUGAAAAUAGGAAAAAAUUACAUUUAAGUUUUUAUUUUUAUUUUUUACCGGAGGUCCAUAUGUCUAGUACUUAGAAAUCACGUCAUUAUAAAAAUGCGCCACUAGAGCAUAAUAUAAUAGCAUGAAGGACGUCAUUAUAAUUACAUUUAAGCCAUGAAGAACGUUGUUAUAUAUGCCAAUCCGCAAUACAUGGAAACUUCUGUUAUGGUUAGUGACACCAACAACACUGAUCAUGAAACCAACUACGCUGAUUCUGUGACUGUAACAAAAAAAAACAAUUACUAUGAAAAUGGACAAAAUUCGAAAUGACUUUGUAAGCAUUGCACAACAGAUUUGUAGGAGAGAUAUUCCAAAUGCCAUUGGAGAGCUUCACUCACUCAGAGGGCUAAACCUUUCCCAUAACAGAUUUAUUGGUCCUAUUCUACAAUCCAUUGGAAAUUUGACAAAGUUAGAAUCAUUGGAUCUCUCCUCAAAUAUGCUCACUGGCGGGAUACCUAGAGAAUUAAGCAAUUUGAACUUUCUUGAAGUCCAAAAUCUUUCCAAUAACCAUCUUGCAUUUGUGGGAGAAAUACCUCAAGGAAAACAGUUCAGUACUUUUUCCAAUGACUCCUAUGGUAGAAACUUGGGGUUGUGUGGACUCCCAUUGACAGCAGAAUGCAGCAAGGACCUUGAACAACAUUCUCCACCUUCACUAACCGUUGGGGGAGAACAGGGAGUUGGAUUUGGUUGGAAACCAGUGGCUAUGUGAUAUGGAUGCGGAAUGGUCUUUGGAGUGGGAAUGGGAUGUUGUGUAUUGUUAAUAGGAAAGCCUCAAUGGCUUGUGAGAAUGGUUGGAGGUCAACUCAAUAAAAAGGUGAAAAGGAAGACAAGGAUGAGAUCUAAUGAAAAUGGUAGCAGAAUGAAUUAGUUGAUAUGUGGCAUGACUGUAGAAUGUUUUCUUGCUCACCUUCCUGUUGAAAUUCAAUUCUGCCUUGUUGGAAAACAAAACUUAAGGGCAAGAACUUUAUCACACUGCAUUGCAUAUGCAUGGGAGAUCUGAUUCAAAGUUUAGUUGUAAUUGUAAUAUGGUGUUGUACUUUUUUUUCUUUGUGUUCAAUAAAUGAGUGUGAUAUACUUUUUUUUUUCUUCCAUUGCCCCAGAAACUCGGGUCUGAAUCAUCCAAAAGUUUGAUAAUUUUUCUGUUCAUUAAUACGCUUAGAUUGUUUUAUUUUUUUUAACAUUUUUAUAUCGGUGAAUUGUAUCAAGUUAAGUAGUGAAUAAUGUGUUGACAAUCAACAAUCAUUUCGUUAAUAUGCUGCAGAUUACAAAAUUGUAGCAGUCAUUAAUAGGCAAAUAUUGACCUGGGGGGAUUUCUUUUAGAAACUAAUUUCCAACCAUUUUGAAACAUCUACAGUUUUUUUAUUAUAAAAUAAGUGUUGGAUUCUUAAAAUAUGAUGUCAAGUUUCCUUAUAUAAUUUAUUUGGUGACCUAUUGCGGAUAAUCUCCCUGGCAUUUACUACUCUCUUGGAUUUUUCAAAAAAUUGAUAUUAGAACCAAUGGUUCGAUUUGAUGACUAGCUUAGACAAGUAAGAUGACAUCGAUGAAUUCAUGGAUAUAGAGUCCUUUGUAUCAAAAGUCUUUUUGACAGGUGAAUUCAUGCAUGAAUGUCAGGUAGCAGAGUUGCAUGUGUUGCAAUAGUGCAAGAUACUAGAACAUGUUAUGACAAUGGCUAGACAAGCUAGGGUAAUAAAGAUUAAGUUUUAAGAGUCACCAUUGAAUAUUCCUGAAUUGAAAAUGAUUUCCAUCCAAUGGAAAGGUUAACAUGUGGAAGAGACACAAACUUGAGAAAAAGAUUGUUAAAAUAUAAGUGUGAGAAAAAAUCUCAUAUUAGAUCGAAAUGACAGUUGAGUAUCAUAUAACAAGUGAGAAGAAAAUCAUAAACAUGAGUGAUAUGAUUUUAAUUUAAAAUAUGAUGUAAAAAUCACUUACAUAAUUACUCGGGAUAAAAUAUUUGAAGGAAAAAGAAUUGACUUGAGAGCCUUUUUCUUAGUUUACAUCUCGUUGUGCCAUUAACAAUUGAUAAUUCUGUCGAGCAUGCUAUAUUGUAAAGAAAAAUACUUCUCUCUUUAUUUGUUCAUUUUACAUAUUUCCUGGUGUCAAAAAAUUCUUUUUAUUGUAUUUUUAUAUCCUUUAAAAUAAAUUUGCUUUUGAAGUUUUCUCUUGGACCAGAUACCAUACAAAGAAUUUCACAUAAUGUAAAUGCACGGGGUUCUUUUUUAAUUUUGAUUUUGUGGCAUUUAUCUCUAUAUUUGGUUGAUAUAUUUGAAACUUGAUAGCGAUUAGCUGAUGUAUCAGUCAACGGACCCUAGUAUGGAAAAAGAAUAUGGUGAAGACAGAAUUUUUCCACAAACUAAUGUAUCAGCGUGAGUUUCCUUUAAUUUUCUUUUGAUUUAAACAUUUUUGUGGACGUAUUUUAAUUUUCCUUUUUGAUGUGAUUGGCGAGCUUAAUUUUCUAACCCAUAUUUUAAGGGUUGGCAGACUUGGAAAACAAUUGCUUGGAUUUAACUGAAGUGGCUGUUUAUACAUGUUUUCUUUUUAGAAUCAUAUCACAUAUAUGUAGUCGAUCUGUUGGUGAGGUAGACAGUGGGAGCUUAUGUUUUGUGCAGAGAUUGUGUCCUCAAACUUUCAUGUGAUAAGACAAAUUAACUUCUGAAUUUUCACAAUAAUACAGUUCUAUUCUAUCAUAAGAAAAAAAAAAAUACCACCAAUAACUUGUAGAUGCAUUUUCUCUUAAACAGGUGGUAUUCUAUCUCUGUGUUCAAUUAUAUCUUUUGGCUGGAAUCUUCCGUGUUCAUAUGUUGGGGAUUAAAAUAUUUAAUAGGGAUUAAUUAACAGGAAUAUAUCCAGAAAACAAGUAGUGUUCAAUUUUCCUUUUUGAUGUGAUUAGAGUGUCUAAUUUUCUAACCCAUAUUUUUAAGGUUGUAAGACUCGGAAAACAAUUGUUUGGUUUAACUAAAUUGGUUUAUACAUGUUUUGUUUUCUGAAUGAUAUGUAGCAUGCUUUCUGCGGUAGAAAACUAAGUCAGUCGAUCACAUGAGACAAAAAUUAAAUAUUUUCAUCGUCACCGUUGUAAUAGCUUGCUACAUUAAACAUAAUUAGUAAUAUAUUUUUUUUAAUUAUUAUCAAAACAAGGAUAAAAUUUUCAUGAUUAAACAAAAUAUCUAUUAAACUUAUUUAAAAAUGAUGGAUUAGUAAAAGCGAUGUAAAGGCAUAAAUUAUUAUAUGAAGAAUUAUCUUCCAAAAAUAAAAUCAACUCAUGAUACAAAAAUAAACAGAGUUUGAAGUAUAUAUAUAUAUAUAUAUAUAUAUAUAUAUAACUCUGUCAAUUGAAUAAUAGUUGGGGGGCGGGACCUAGGAUUUAUCUAGACAUAGCUUUCUAACUCUUAACAACUAAAAUUUCUAGACACAAGCCCGAUUAGAAGAUCAACAGUACAUACACCUCAACUCAUGACAAAAACCUUUAUAUUCCAUAGAUAAACUUAAAUUUCUCAAUUUAGGAGUACGAUUUGUCAAAUCUUAGACUUAAUCUAAUUAUAUUUGAACGGGUUAAUUUGAGUUGAUUUUCUAAAAAAUAUAUGAAAUUUAACCAAAACCAACUUAUUUAUAAAUUGUUUGAGUUUGAUUGGAUCAACCAAGGUAACAAUUUAAUAAUAUUUACAACAAUUUAAUAACACUUAAAACUCAUCCACCAUGUCUUAACAAUGUCCAACUCCUAAAUUGUGACAAAUAUAAGUUUUCUAACUUAUAAAUAAUUUAAUAUAUAAAUUUAAAUUUUCACAAAUAUUAAUUUUAAAAGAAUUUGUUUAAAUGAUAUAAUUUUGAAAAGUAUGUUAAUUUUAUACAUAUUCUUUCAACAAAUAUUUUAGAAUUAUGUAUUCUUUUUAAUUAAAUGUAAUAUUUAUUUUUAAAUAUUUCUAACAUCUUGAAAUUAUAUCAUAUACAAUUAUCCAUUUACAAAUAAUUUUAUAAAUGAUAUACUUUUGACAAAUUUAUUUUUUAUGUAUAAUUUCAAAAAAUAUUUUAUAAUUUAAAUUUUUAUAGUUUAAGGUAAUAUUUAUAUUUUAGAUGUUUUUCUCCGAAUUAUAUAUAUCAUAAACAAUUAUUUCUAGCGUUAUUUCAAAAUAAAUUUUGGGGAGCAAUUGCAUAAAUUAGUAAGGCAAAGGUUUUAGCUUGACAAUUGAAAAAAAAAUGCAUAAAAAAGGAUAUCCAUUAUUGAAAUAAAAUAAAUUUCUUUAAUUAAAUUAUAAUAUAUUUUAUUUUGGAAAGUGAAGGAAACACGUCAUAAAAAAACAAAAAAAAAAAAACUAAAAAGCUCCAUUGUUUUUAAAACUCAUAAAUCCAUAUACCUGAAUAGGGUUAAAAAAAUUCUUCAAAAUCUCUAUCACUCUUUUAUAGUAUCAAAUUUAAAUUAUUUUCCUAUUUUUAAGAUGACAAAUUGUUUCUGUAAAAAGACAAUAAAUUAUUAAAAAUAAAUUCAAAUAUAUAUAUAAUUAUAAACAAAACUAAAAAUAUUUUUUAUAAACAAAUCAUAUGAAAAAAAAUUCAAUUCAAUGAGCUAGUUCACAAGCUAGUUCUGUCAAGCACACCCUAUCUCUUCCUUAAAACAUUUUUUUGUUUAAAUCGUUUAGAUUUAAAUAGGUAAAUUUUUUAUUUUUUGGUUUUUUCCCUUUUAAAUUAUUGUUAAAUUUUUGCUCCCAAAAAAAUAAUUUUUGUAUUUUAUUUUUUGACUUUGGAUUUAUUUAGAUAGGGCUUUAGAAAAUGGAAUAAAAUUAUUUUGAUAGUUAUUUAGCAAAAAAACAAAAGAAAAAAUUAUUACAAACCAAAAAGUUAACAAAAAUUUAUUAGGAAUAAAAAAAAUUAAUGAUUUAUCAAGAACUAAAAAUAUAUUUAAAUUGUUUAUAACAUAAAAGAACAUGAAAAAUCAACCAUUAUGCAAUUCUCUUUGAACAAAAUUGUAAGAUGUAACAUUUUUAAAAUAAAUUUCAGAGAGCAACUCAGUCCAUACACUAAGAUAGUGUUUUACCUUGACAGUUGAAAAAAUGCAUUAAAAAGAAGGAUUUGCCGUGAAGGUUUCAAGAAAAUACAUGCAUGUGUAAUGUUAUUUCAUUUCUAGUUGGUAUUUUAAAGGGAAAACAUGGUUAAACAAAGAUAUGAAGUAGAAAAAUAAAAUAAAUCAUGUUUACAGAAAAAAUGAGUUCCAAGUCAAGUCAAUUUAAAUUGCAAUUGCUGGGACAACUUUGAUAGCGUGUAAAAGGAUCAUAAAAUUUAUGUGUCAAUUUGCGUGAGGUUUGGGCUGUUGAAGUCUUGAAGCUUAAUUUAGCCACAAAUUUUGCAUAUCAUCUUUUUAAUUUGACUAUAAAUAUUAAUGUUUGGUUGCUCAGUAUUAAUUUCAUGUAUAUUUUCCAUCCCUUAUAGUAAAGAGUAUUUGAGUAGAAAAUGGAAUCAUGGAUGUGGUGUUUCCUUCUCUGUUCCCAUUUGCUCAUCCUUUAUUUUUCACCCUCUCAUUCCUUAUGCCACCCCCAUGACACCUCUGCCUUGCUCCACUUCAAAAACUCCUUCACUAUUAAUACUAGUUAUGGCCAUAAUGAAUAUCCUUAUUAUUAUCAUAAAUGUGAUACUGGUUAUUCAAAGACGAGAACAUGGGAAAAUGGGACAGAUUGUUGCUCUUGGGCUGGAGUCACCUGCCACCCCAUCUCAGGUCAUGUCACUGACCUCGACCUCAGCUGCAGUGGCCUUCACGGCAAUAUCCAUCCAAACAGUACGCUUUUCCAUCUUUCUCAUCUUCACUCACUCAACCUUGCUUUCAAUCAUUUGUAUCAAUCUCAUUGGUCAUCUCUCUUUGGUGGGUUUGUGAGCCUCACUCAUCUCAACUUGUCUUAUUCUGAAUUUGAAGGGGAUAUUCAUUCCCAAAUCUCUCACCUUUCCAAAUUAGUCUCGCUUGAUCUCUCAGGUAAUGAUUUGUUAGAGUGGAAGGAAGACACUUGGAAGAGAUUGCUCCAAAAUGCAACAGUUUUAAGGGUGCUUGUUUUGGAUGGAGCAGAUAUGUCUUCCAUUUCAAUCAGGACACUCAAUAUGUCUUCCUCUUUGGUUACUCUUAGUCUUCGAUACAGUGGGCUAAGAGGAAACUUGACAGAUGGCAUUCUCUGUUUACCAAAUCUUCAGCACUUGGAUCUUUCAGGAAACUGGGUCCGUGGAGGCCAGCUUGCAGAAGUGAGUUGCAGCACAACUUCUCUUGAUUUCUUAGCUCUUUCAGAUUGUGUUUUCCAAGGGUCAAUCCCUCCCUUCUUCUCUAACCUCACACAUCUUACUUCCCUGGAUCUCUCAUAUAACAACCUCAACGGUCCAAUCCCUCCCUCUUUCUUCAACCUCACACAUCUCACUUCCCUAGACCUCUCAGGUAUCAACCUCAACGGUUCAAUCCCAUCCUCACUCUUAACCCUUCCACGGCUAAACUUUCUGAAACUACAGAAUAACCAACUCAGUGGUCAAAUCCCAGAUGUCUUUCCUCAGUCAAACAGCUUUCACGAAUUGGAUUUGAGUGAUAACAAAAUAGAGGGUGAGCUGCCAUCAACACUUUCAAAUCUUCAACAUCUCAUUUUCUUGGAUCUUUCAUAUAAUAAAUUGGAUUUGAGUGGUAACAAAAUAGAGGGUGAGCUGCCAUCAACACUUUCAAAUCUUCAACAUCUCCUUCACUUGGAUCUUUCAUAUAAUAAAUUGGAGGGCCCUCUGCCUAACAAUAUAACAGGGUUUUCAAACCUAACAUCGUUAAGGUUAAAUGGAAACUUACUGAAUGGGACAAUUCCUUCUUGGUGUUUAUCUUUGCCAUCUUUGAAGCAGUUAGAUCUAUCAGGAAACCAACUCUCUGGGCAUAUUAGUGCAAUCUCAUCAUAUUCCUUGGAGACAUUGUCUUUAUCCCACAACAAGUUACAAGGCAAUAUUCCAGAAUCAAUUUUUAGCCUUCUAAACCUUACACUCUUAGAUCUAUCAUCAAACAAUUUAAGUGGAUCUGUCAAAUUUCAUCAUUUCUCCAAGCUUCAAAAUUUGAAAGAACUUCAACUUUCACGGAAUGAUCAGUUAUCACUAAAUUUCAAAUCCAAUGUCAAGUAUAAUUUCUCCCGUUUAUGGAGAUUGGACUUAUCUUCUAUGGAUUUAACUGAAUUUCCAAAAUUAUCGGGAAAAGUCCCAUUUUUGGAAUCACUCCAUUUGUCCAAUAACAAACUUAAAGGUAGAGUGCCAAAUUGGUUGCAUGAAACGAACUCAUUGUUAUUGGAAUUGGACCUCUCUCAUAACCUAUUGACGCAAUCAUUGGACCAAUUCUCGUGGAAGAAACCACUCGCUUACCUUGAUCUUAGUUUUAACUCAAUCACUGGUGGCUUCUCUUCCUCAAUUUGCAAUGCAAGUGCAAUUGAGAUUCUCAACUUAUCUCACAACAUGUUGACAGGAACCAUUCCACAAUGCCUUGUUAACUCAUCAACCCUUGAAGUUUUGGAUCUGCAACUGAACAAGCUUCAUGGCCCUUUGCCAAGUACCUUUGCACAGGACUGUUGGCUCAGAACUCUGGAUCUCAAUGGCAACCAAUUAUUAGAAGGCUUUUUGCCAGAAUCUUUGUCCAAUUGCAUUUAUCUGGAGGUUUUAAAUCUUGGAAACAAUCAAAUAAAGGAUGUGUUUCCCCAUUGGCUUCAAACUCUACCAGAAUUGAAAGUAUUGGUUUUGAGAGCCAACAAGUUGUACGGUCCCAUUGAGGGUUCAAAGACCAAGCAUGGAUUCCCCAGUUUAGUCAUUUUUGAUGUCUCUUCCAACAACUUCAGCGGCCCAAUUCCAAAAGCCUACAUUAAAAAAUUUGAAGCCAUGAAGAACGUUGUUCUAGAUGCCUAUAGCCAAUACAUAGAAGUUCCUUUUAAUUUAUUUUAUGGACCCAACGACAGACCCAACGACAGACCCAACUACGCUGAUUCUGUGACUAUAACAACAAAAGCAAUUACUAUGACAAUGGUCAGAAUUCGAAAUGACUUUGUAAGCAUUGAUUUAUCGCAAAACAGAUUUGAAGGAGAGAUUCCAGGUGUCAUUGGGGAGCUUCAUUCACUCAGAGGACUCAACCUUUCCCAUAACAGACUUAUUGGUCCUAUUCCCCAAUCCAUGGGAAAUUUGAGAAACUUAGAAUCAUUGGAUCUCUCCUCAAAUAUGCUCACUGGUCGGAUACCUACAGAAUUAAGCAAUUUGAACUUUCUUGAAGUCCUAAAUCUUUCCAAUAACCAUCUUGUGGGAGAAAUACCUCAAGGAAAACAGUUCGGUACUUUUUCCAAUGAUUCCUAUGAGGGAAACUCUGGGUUAUGUGGACUCCCACUGACAAUCAAAUGCAGCAAGGACCCUGAACAACAUUCUCCACCUUCAAC
rnacentral:lncRNA from 1 species